rnacentral:rRNA from 1 species
UAGGGAAUCUUCCGCAAUGGACGAAAGUCUGACGGAGCAACGCCGCGUGAGUGAAGAAGGAUUUCGGUUCGUAAAACUCUGUUGUUAGGGAAGAAAAAAUGUAUAGUAACUAUAUACAAAAGAGACGGUACCUAACCAGAAAGCCACGGCUAACUACGUGCCAGCAGCCGCGGUAAUACGUAGGUGGCAAGCGUUGUCCGGAAUUAUUGGGCGUAAAGCGCGCGCAGGUGGUUUAGAAAGUCUGAUGUGAAAGCCCAUGGCUCAACCGUGGAGGGUCAUUGGAAACUAAUAAACUUGAGUGCAGGAGAGAAAAGUGGAAUUCCUAGUGUAGCGGUGAAAUGCGUAGAGAUUAGGAGGAACACCGGUGGCGAAAGCGGCUUUUUGGCCUGCAACUGACACUGAGGCGCGAAAGCGUGGGGAGCAAACAGG